UGUGCCUGGGUUUUCACUUGUGAUGCCACAAGUCCUCAGGCAAUACAAAUGGGAAUUUAUCUUUUUUCCCAAUGAAUGACUUUGUCUUAACUCCUCAUUUGAACAGUUGGAGGGACCACAGGGCCUAGAUGCUUUAAAAAAGUUUCUCCUUUUCAAGUCAUGGCAAAAGCCCAAAGCUCUAAGCACAGAGCUCAGCUUCUGCAAUUCCCCAUUGGGAAGCCCAGCAUCAAGAGCUCUAUGAGCUUGGGGAAGGGGCUUUGUGAUUACUUGUAGCUUUUUUUCCCUUGCUUACGUCCCCUUCCCUUGGUGUGGCAGCAAACACGUUCUGAGCAUGAUGCAAGUCAACCUCUGCAACUCUGAACUUGUCUGCUGUUGCAUCACCUGGAGACGCACAUGGAAAAGGAGACUCUUCCUGCUACCAUCUGAAUUUGGGUGCUCACAUUUCCAAGGUAACCAGGUUAUUUGUGGGCUGUUAUAGUCUUGUUUUAUCCUUUGUGUGAGCAAAUUAGGCUAUUUGCAGUGUUGCAAAGGCACUCAAAUAGUUCAGCUAAUGAACACGUCCCUGUAUUUACAGCCAACUGGCACAGGCUGUGAUAGUCAUGCUCUGAGGUGCUUGUAAGGAGUGUGAAAGCAGGCUUUCUUCCUGAUUUUGUGCCAUUUGCUCCCAUGCCACCUUGAAUCUGUCUCUUAAUUGUGUAGUGCUGGGCUGGCUAAAUGUAAUCUGGGAUGAGAGGAUGGGUGAGGGAAUGUUCAGCAGGGAGAGCAGCUCCUGGAAGUCCCAUUCAGCUUCCACGUCCUGUUCCCUCAAGUGUCUUUAUUCAAACUGCGCAGUUGCCCUUUCUCCGGGGUUUGUCCCCCAGCCUCCUUGCUGUGUCUCCCAGCAGCACAGGCACAAAGGAUGGGCCAUAGUGAGGCCUCCUGGAGCUGCCCUGUCCGGUCUGGCACUGUGGGGUCCAGGCUGCAAAUGUGGCUCGGCAGCAAACGCGCCUGUUUGCUGGGGGCCGUGCUCGCGUUUGAACAGCUGUCUGCGUGGCAUCCGUGUGGGAACCGCCUUAAAUUGGCGGGAAAAGGUGAGGCGUCGGACCUCAGGACAGCUGUCCCCAGGGUCCUGCCUCACCACACGCUGCUCGGGGGGCACCUGAGGGGACCCCGCCUGGUGGCCUGAAAGGCUCAUGGCCGUCACAGUGGUACAGAACUGCGGCUGGGUCCUGCGGAGGAGCUGGGAGGAUGAACAGCCCCGGCAGGAAGGCCCUGAGCCGGCCGAACGCCUCAGCCUGUGAUGGCGGCACGGCCCUCGGCAGCCGCGAUGGAGGCGGCACCUGUGGUCAGGGACUGAGCUGCUUUGCCAUGGAACUGAUCCUCUCACUUGGAUGAUGCAAAUGAGGCCCAGGGAAAAACUCACUGCACAAGCAGCGAGCCCACCUCUUCAUCCUUCUCCUGCACCACUGGACUGGCUGCAAACAAAACAAGGGGCCUUGCAAGGCAGUGAUGUAGUCCCUCCAAUGUGCUGGGAAGUGCCUUAUAGAAAGGAAUGACUGGGAACCUCUUGGAAGGAGAGAGGGAUUGAUGAGCACUGAGAGGGAACAUGACCUGCCUGAAAUGUCAUGUCUGGUGAUCAUGAAGGUUUCAAAGCGAUUGGAAAUCCCGGCCCAGCCACAAUUUCUUUUUGUUUUUGU